rnacentral:rRNA from 1 species
UACGUAGGUGGCGAGCGUUGUCCGGAUUUACUGGGCGUAAAGGGAGCGUAGGCGGACUUUUAAGUGAGAUGUGAAAUACCCGGGCUCAACUUGGGUGCUGCAUUUCAAACUGGAAGUCUAGAGUGCAGGAGAGGAGAAUGGAAUUCCUAGUGUAGCGGUGAAAUGCGUAGAUAUUAGGAGGAACACCAGUUGCGAAGGCGGCUCUCUGGACUGUAACUGACGCUGAGGCACGAAAGCGUGGGGAGCAAACAGGAUUAGAUACCCCCGUA